rnacentral:misc_RNA from 1 species
GAUGAAGAACGUAGCGAAAUGCGAUAAGUAAUGUGAAUUGCAGAAUUCAGUGAAUCAUCGAAUCUUUGAACGCACAUUGCGCCCGCCAGUAUUCUGGCGGGCAUGCCUGUUCGAGCGUCAUUUCAACCAUCAAGCCCCCGGCUUGUGUUGGGGACCUGCGGCUGCCGCAGGCCCUGAAAACCAGUGGCGGGCUCGCUAGUCACUCCGAGAGUAGUAAUACAUCUCGCUCAGGGCGUGCUGCGGGUUCCGGCCGUUAAAAAGCCUUAUUUACCCAAGGUUGACCUCGGAUCAGGUAGGAAGACCCGCUGAACUUAAGCAUAUCAAUAAGCGGAGGA